UUCGGUGCAGAUGGAUGGACCGUCUGGGCUACGGAGUCCACGGGCCUGAAACGCAGUCGCUCCUGACCCGUCCUCCGCAACCCUCGUCCCACCAGGCCGCGGUUCCCGGAGCAGGCCGGCGGGUGGCAGGAAGACACCAGGCUGCAGGGGGCUGGAGAAGCAACACCCCUCUCCCUCCCCGCCAGAGAACUGGAGCGCGGGGACCUCGGUUGCGGAUGCUGGCGGCGAGCCGGGUUGCUAGGCGACAUCGAGACGGGAUUUCACCAUGUUGGUCAGACUGGUCUCGAACUCCUGACCUCAGAUGAUCCACCAGCCUCGGCCUCCCAAAGUGCUGGGAUUACAGGCGUGAGCCACCACGCCCAGCCGGGAAGCUUUUAAGGCCGGAUGUGACACAGACCCAGUUUCCACAGAUGAAACCUGCAAGUGUGGCUGGAAAACAACCUGUCCGGCUGCGUCUUAAGGACGAGGAAGACCGGGCAAGGGUUUUCCAGCAAAGACGCCCAAAGCAGCUCGCCCCAAGAGGCCCUUCGCUCAAGGAAUCGAGAAUGGCCGGGCAGACAGCGACUGGUCGCAGA
rnacentral:sRNA from 1 species